GAUGAACGCUGGCGGCGUGCCUAAUACAUGCAAGUCGAGCGAACAGACGAGGAGCUUGCUCCUCUGACGUUAGCGGCGGACGGGUGAGUAACACGUGGAUAACCUACCUAUAAGACUGGGAUAACUUCGGGAAACCGGAGCUAAUACCGGAUAACAUGUUGAACCGCAUGGUUCAACAGUGAAAGACGGUUUUGCUGUCACUUAUAGAUGGAUCCGCGCCGCAUUAGCUAGUUGGUAAGGUAACGGCUUACCAAGGCAACGAUGCGUAGCCGACCUGAGAGGGGGGGAGGCAGAAGUGGAACGGCGACACGGGGGAGACGACGAAGGGAGGGCAGAGGAGGGAAUAUGAAGUAAGGUGUGAAAGAAGAAAGGAGCAAAGAAGAGGGAGAGAAGAAGGGAUACGUAUCGAAAAACGUUGUGAGGAGGGAAGAACAAAAGGGUACGAAACAAUGCACGCGAGGAGGGUAAGUAAUAAGAAAGAUACCGCCCACCAAGUG
rnacentral:rRNA from 1 species